UGCCUGUCAAACUUUCCAUGUGCCUGUGAAACACCUGGGCAUCAUGAUUCUGCAUUCCUAACCAACCUCCAGGAAGAAAUGUGUCUUGGCUGGAGGCCCACGUUUCGUUCCAGCACAUCCUUUUUACCAAAAGAGCCGUCCCUGGAGCUGCCAACAGUGUUUACGAGAAAGCCAUCCAACAAUACUUUGGAUCUGGGAACGUGGCCUGACCACAGACGUGGCCUUCCCCGCCCCGAGAACCAUCCAUCCGAAAGCCUGGCACACGCUGGGAAAACUCCUGUCAGUGGAUGCAGUGUCCUUUCCAGAUUCAAUAUUAUGCAAACUGCAUAUCGGCAAAUGGAGUAAACAAAUAUGUCCAUGGAGCUUCC